GAGGAGGGGCAUAGGUUGGAAGGGGUGGGCCGGGUCUCUCUAGCCUCCGCGGUACUACGCAGCUUCAUGGUUUUAACUCUUGGUGGUCUUUUGACCGUCCUCAGUCCUUACCGUGCGGAGUUUUGGAUACAUUCUUAGCAGCUUUUUCGCUCCGGAGAAGUUCUUUAUCUUUCUGAGCCGCAGUUUGCCCAACUGCAAAAUGGAAAGAGAUGAAGCAGGAAUUAAGAUACUCUAGGAGCUCGCCCACAGCUGAUUCAGGGCCCCAUUCUGAGGUUACACCCUUAAGCCUUUGCACCACUCAAAGGAAGGAAACCAAGAGAGAGGGGUGGCUGGCUGCUGUUUGGAGACAGUGGUCCUUGUAUUGGCGCCCCGCGGAAUCACUCCAGAUGAGUCAGUGGAUACAGUCUAUAGGUCCCGCCUCAUUGUACGCAAACAGCAGUGGGCAUAUGGCCGUGGGGGGUUGAUACAGCCUGUCCGGGGUGGGACUCUGUGUGUAUGGGAGGCUAAAUCUCAGCAGGACUUUUCCAGUUGCUACCAGACUACGCACUGUCGCCUGAUGGUUAAGAACUGAAGCUUUAGCCGUGCGCGGUGGCUCACGCCUGUAAUCCCAGCACUUUAGGAGGCAGAGGCGUGUGGAUCACCUGAGGUCACGAGUUCGAGACCAGCUUGACCAACAAGCUGGCAUAUCCGAAUGGGCUGAGCUACCGGAUUAAGAGGGACACCCCAAAGCCCCCAUUGCUGGGUUAUUGCUCCAGAGCCAAUGUUCUUGGGGAAAGGAAGAUAUGCCCUUUGUCAACAUUGCCACUGCUGGUCUGUAAACUCCUAGACGGCCAGCUGGUGGUUCACAAACCAGGACUCCUUGCUCUGGCCCUACCCCUACCUACCAGAAUGACCGUGAACCCUUCCCCACUCACUCCUACAACCAGGUUUCCAUCUCCUCUCUCAGCUUAGGUUUCCCUAACUGUAAAAUAAAAGGGUUGGACUAGGUUAAGGACUUCCUGCUAUUUCUCUCUCCCACACUCUAAGGUUCCUUAGGAAUGCUUCAGAAAACAGCAGGGGUUGGGGCAAGGAUGCCGCUUGAGUCCCAGAGCAACUCCAAUUUCAUAGGCACAUAAAUUUAUGUGAAAGUA
rnacentral:lncRNA from 1 species